AACUUUUAACAACGGAUCUCUUGGUUCUGGCAUCGAUGAAGAACGCAGCGAAAUGCGAUAAGUAGUGUGAAUUGCAGAAUUCAGUGAAUCAUCGAAUCUUUGAACGCACAUUGCGCCCCUUGGUAUUCCAUGGGGCAUGCCUGUUCGAGCGUCA
rnacentral:rRNA from 6 species